rnacentral:lncRNA from 7 species
AGCAAAACUAGCAUGCACCAUGUAGCUUAUCCUCCUCUGUCUGAGCGGUGAAGUUAAUACAGGAAUACUGAAAAUGGCCUUCUGGGCAAGACCCAACCAUCAACAGUUCUUGGAGCAGCCUGUAGCAGCGUUCUGGGGAAGGAGUGUAAGCAACAAGACAGAGACAUUGCUUAUCCCCGGUGCUGCACCACUGACUUCCUGCUACAGAAACCCUGCUGGUGAGAGUGUCACCUGUGCCAGAAGCCACUCAAACUCAGGGCCAGUUGCUGGCCCCAACACAGAUGAGCUGUGCUCCGGGGGCAGGCGCUCAGCCCCCCCAAAGCCACUGCUGCUCAGCGGGACUCUGCACCAGCACCCAAUUCCGUGCCUCCCAAAUCCACCCAUUUCCCUCCCCUGCACCUAAAAUGAGCUUUCAAAGUUGUGAGAUUUAAAAUAAAAUUAAAUGCGGGAUAUU